rnacentral:rRNA from 1 species
UGGGGAAUAUUGGACAAUGGGGGGAACCCUGAUCCAGCCAUGCCGCGUGUGUGAAGAAGGCCUUAUGGUUGUAAAGCACUUUAAGCGAGGAGGAGGGUACUGGUAUUAAUACUACCAGGUACUGGACGUUACUCGCAGAAUAAGCACCGGCUAACUCUGUGCCAGCAGCCGCGGUAAUACAGAGGGUGCGAGCGUUAAUCGGAUUUACUGGGCGUAAAGCGUGCGUAGGCGGCUAAUUGAGUCGGAUGUGAAAUCCCCGAGCUUAACUUGGGAAGUGCAUUCGAUACUGGUUAGCUAGAGUGUCGGAGAGGAUGGUAGAAUUCCAGGUGUAGCGGUGAAAUGCGUAGAGAUCUGGAGGAAUACCGAUGGCGAAGGCAGCCAUCUGGCCUAACACUGACGCUGAGGUACGAAAGCAUGGGGAGCAAACAGG